rnacentral:rRNA from 1 species
UACGAAGGGGGCUAGCGUUGCUCGGAAUCACUGGGCGUAAAGGGUGCGUAGGCGGGUCUUUAAGUCAGGGGUGAAAUCCUGGAGCUCAACUCCAGAACUGCCUUUGAUACUGAAGAUCUUGAGUUCGGGAGAGGUGAGUGGAACUGCGAGUGUAGAGGUGAAAUUCGUAGAUAUUCGCAAGAACACCAGUGGCGAAGGCGGCUUACUGGCCCGAUACUGACGCUGAGGCACGAAAGCGUGGGGAGCAAACAGG